rnacentral:tRNA from 1 species
GAAGGUAUAGCUUAGUGGCAGAGUGCCUGCUUAGCACGCAUGAGGUCCCAGGUUCAAUCCCUGAUACCUCCA